AAUUAAUGAGCUUGUAAAUAAGCAUUUGUUUUGAAAACAUAAGAAAGAAUAUAUAAUUCUAUUAAUUU
rnacentral:tRNA from 1 species